rnacentral:rRNA from 1 species
GAGUUUGAUCCUGGCUCAGGAUUAACGCUAGCGGCAGGCCUAAUACAUGCAAGUCGUACGGUAACAGGUGUAGCAAUACAUGCUGACGAGUGGCGCACGGGUGCGUAACACGUAUGUAAUCUGCCUUUAACUGGGGAAUAACCCCUCGAAAGAGGGGCUAAUACCGCAUAACAUCACCGGACGGCAUCGCCUGGUGAGCAAACCUACGGGGGUUAAAGAUGAACAUGCGACUGAUUAGUUAGUUGGCGGGGUAACGGCCCACCAAGACCACGAUCAGUAGGGGAUCUGAGAGGAUGAUCCCCCACACGGGUACUGAGACACGGACCCGACUCCUACGGGAGGCAGCAGUAAGGAAUAUUGGACAAUGGAGGCAACUCUGAUCCAGCCAUGCCGCGUGAAGGAUGAAUGCGCUAUGCGUUGUAAACUUCUUUUAUACGGGAAAAAUAUCCGCUAUUCUUAGCGGAUUGA